rnacentral:rRNA from 1 species
UACAGAGGGUGCGAGCGUUAAUCGGAAUUACUGGGCGUAAAGGGCUCGUAGGCGGUUUGUCGCGUCGGGAGUGAAAACCUCGGGCUUAACUCGGGGCUUGCUUUCGAUACGGGCAGACUAGAGGUAUGCAGGGGAGAACGGAAUUCCUGGUGUAGCGGUGAAAUGCGCAGAUAUCAGGAGGAACACCGGUGGCGAAGGCGGCGACCUGGUCCGUGACUGACGCUGAGGCGCGAAAGCGUGGGGAGCAAACAGG